UACGGGGGGGUAAGCGUUGUUCGGAAUUACUGGGCGUAAAGGGCUCGUAGGCGGCCAACUAAGUCAGACGUGAAAUCCCCCGGCUUAACCUGGGAACUGCGUCUGAUACUGGAGGGCUUGAGUGCGGGAGAGGGAUGUGGAAUUCCAGGUGUAGCGGUGAAAUGCGCAGAUAUCAGGAGGAACACCGGUGGCGAAGGCGGAUCUCUGGGCCGUAACUGACGCUGGAGGAGCGAAAGCAUGGGGAGCGAACAGG
rnacentral:rRNA from 1 species